AGAACUGCUGUUCAGGGUGGCUCCUCAGUUUGUUGUUUUUUGAGAGCUAAUCUGAAGCUGUCUCCAUUCUGAAUAAAGCUGUUGCGAGCAAUGUGUGCUGGUGUUUGCUCCCUGCUUGGUCUGGCUAAUGAGUAACGGGAUCCAUGGGCAGUUGGACCGUCGUCUCCCUAGUUGUUGGGCGUCACACGAAGUCGGGGUCUAACAAUUCCUUAGACCAAGAGAUGGCAACCUAUGGCCGUGGAGCCACUGGGUGCAGCCUGUGGAACUGGAGCUUUGACAGCAUUCAGUGGCAAAAGAUGGGGGUAAAGUGGACGGGGGCUGGGACCCACGGAAAACCCACCUAGGACCCCAGCUGAGUCAUUCUGGCCUGCCACUGGAUAUUGGCGUUAGAGAAUGUGUGCAUGUAUUCCAAACAGCAUAGCUAGUUUAAUUACAAAAUAUGAAUUCCAUGACAAUUCUCACUAAAAAUACUCUUGUAGGAGAAGUUUCUAAAACCAUGUAAAUAUGUGCAGCAAGCCAUCACUGAAAGAAAAAAGAAUUGGCAAGAUUUCUUGUUGCUAUUCUAGUGCUAGGCUUUUAUAAUGGAGUAAGUUUUAGUUAAUUUUAGAAGCCUGUGAACACUUUCUUAUUCUUAUGCAGUCUUCUAAUUCACCUUAUUGACUGUAAGUGUCAGAACUUGUGUGUGCGUAUGUAUGAUUUAUUUUACAUGGUGGGUUUUUCCCUUGGAAAAAAUGCUAUUCUCUUUUUCCUGUCUACUGUGGAAUGAAGACAUUAUGGAUAUGUGUGCUGCAUAUGGUUCAUGUGCAUGUGCUGCAUUAAAGUGGCAAAAAGUAUUUAAGUUCAUUCUCUGAAUAUCUACAUAAUUCAGCUAUUACUGAGUAUUAGUUGGGAAUCAAAACUCCAGUAUUCUGAGUAAGUGUAUCAAGAGCUGCAGGAAAGAAUACCGUAAUAAUGCUGAGAACUGUGUUUGUAUUCAUGAAGACACACCCCCUUACCCCAAUUCUCAGUGUGUGAAAUGAAAAAGGAAUUCUGGCACAAGGCAAAUGCAAUGGAUAAUGCAGCUCCUUGCUCUGCAAGCCACUUGUGGCCAGUGGAACCAUUACGAUGCUGCUCAGUGAAACAAACCUGCAGACACAUGUGAGAAGCCCAGAUAAGGGAUAUGCUCACUGCGUGGACCUGUGUUUUCUAACAGUGGCUUGUACCUCUCACAAAAAGGACACAAGGAGAUGGAUUCCGCAAGAGUAUUCAGGACUAUACUAGGUCCUUCUCUCUCACCCCCUCCCUCCCAAACACGCUGUCCCUGCUUGUGGAAGGACAUGGGUGUUAUACAAAUAGACUUUUUGCCUAUUGCUUUUAACUUUAUGUAUUUUCUUGAGUUUUGCAUUGCCUUAAGAAACUCCAUUUUGUAUUGCACUGUAGCUUGACAUAAGUGUUUGACCUUUUUAUUCUUUUGUAUCCUGUAUGGGUGAGAGUGUGUUUGUGGAAAAGGAAAACAUCAGCUGGUGACUGGCUGAAGACUUCAGACAGAUAAAAGACCAAAAACAGGAAGAAUCUGCCUCUGAACAGAAAGAGAACAUUGGCAAUUGCCAUUCAAGGAAGAACACAGUGAUAAUAUAGCAAAAGCCCAGAGGACUGGGUGAAUUGACAGGGCUAUAAGAGAUGAGGCAAGACAUACUGAUUUUGGGUCUUGUUCUGCAUGUCAUCCUUGCAGCACUCUGACAAGAUGGACCAGAAGGAGUCCGGAUCCUACUCGUGAUCAACUUGGCUGGCCACUAAGUUGAUCUGAGCACCAAUAAAACUGGUCUCACUUGUGAUUUGAGCAAUUGGCAACAUGGAGACCACAGAGCUCUAGCAGUCCUGAGGACCAUGCUGACCACUACACUGCCUGGUGGUGGAAGGACUGCAUUGGAAUGAGGUCUACUGGCCUCUGAUUGCUACCAGAAAGCACUGUCAGAUUCAAGUCAAUGUGGAAAUUACCAUCACUGGACCAGUUUACAUUAGGGUUAGGGACAGAAGUUACACAUAAACCAGUUUAACUGACCAGAAACUGGUUUAAACCUGUAACAAAGCAGAAGCUCAGUGCACAUAAAUCAGUAUCAAAAUGGCUGGAACUGGAUUAAGAUAGACCUGGUUGAAUGUAAUAUCAGACUUAGCUGAUUUGGGUCAAACUGGUUUAUGAAACUUCUGUCCCAGGCCCCUUCCUGGUUCAAGUUAAAUCACAGGCCACCAGCAUCCUAGCAUUUUUGUAGCCGUGGGCUGGGCUAUGUUGUCUGCUCCAUAGAGCAAGGCUGGCCCUGCCCAUAUGCUGCCUAGCUGAAGAAGUGAGAGCUGGCUGACAAGGGGGUUGUUGGGGGACACAAACCCAGCUGGGGAUGUAGCCCAGUCUGGGAGGGGGGCAGGGGGGGCUGAUCCCCUGAAAGACAAACCCUGAUUGGGGUCUGGGCCAGGGAGAGGGGCUAAACACCCCAUUCCCCUGCUCAAACUUACUGCUGGCCGCAACUGUGACAAAUCCCAGAGGCACCUGGAAGCAAGAAGAGGAAGUAAUGAGCAACCCUGCAAAGUCCU